rnacentral:rRNA from 1 species
UACAGAGGGUGCGAGCGUUAAUCGGAAUUACUGGGCGUAAAGCGUGCGUAGACGGUUAUUUAAGUCGGGUGUGAAAGCCCCGGGCUCAACCUGGGAAUUGCAUUCGAGACUGAAUAGCUAGGGUACGGUAGAGGGAAGCGGAAUUUCCGGUGUAGCGGUGAAAUGCGUAGAUAUCAAGAGGAACACCUGAGGUGAAGACGGGUUGCUGGGCCAACACUGACGCUGAGGCGCGAAAGCCAGGGGAGCAAACGGG